AUUUUGGAAAAAAUAAAAGUUUGAGCAUGAAGAAAAAGCAUAUUAAUGAGGACAAAAUCUAUGAAAUGCAUUAAAGUUGUAAUACCGCUCAGAGUGCAGCAAGCACCGAUAAGGGACAGUUAUAGACUGGGUGUGUCAGCUGAGCACUCGUAGCCUAUCACUGUCCUCAAUCACUCAUAUGAAUUGGUAUGGCUAAUCCGUAGUGUUACUGAGGAUGAGCCACAACCUCCAGCAGUGGAAGAAGCUACUGGUGAUAGGGGACCUACAUUCAAAAUCAUGUAAAUAGAGAUUUGAAUCUGAGCAGUGGUUUGGCACUAGGGAUUUAAGACACAAUAACACUUAAAAUUAAAUGAAGUAGUUGGGUGCCUACACUGUCCUUUUAGCAGUGGCUGCUCACUGUAAAUAUUAACUAGCAUCUGGGCAGCCAUAUCUGCCCUAUCGCUAAAAAGACUCCACUCCAUGGGGAUGGGGCAUGCAUAAUAAUGGUGGGAUUUUGAGACUUGCCUGGGAUGGCAGUGGCUGCUUAGUCACUAGUUUAUAUUUACAGUGAGCAGCCACUGGCUGCUAGUACUUAAAAUAAUUAGCCAGUGUUCAUUUUGUCGACUAAAAAUUUUAGUCGACUAAAAUCUAUUUGAGGUUGAUUGGACUAAAACUACACAUUCAGAUGACUAAAAUAAGACAAACUAAAAUGGCUUUUUAGUCAAAAGACUGAAUAAAACUAAAUUGAAAUUUGACGCUAAAAUUAACACAGCACAAAGGGGCUGUGGAAUGGGCAAAAGAGACAGACUAGUGCUUGGGAGAGAGACAGCUAG